UAGGGAAUCUUCCACAAUGGACGAAAGUCUGAUGGAGCAACGCCGCGUGAGUGAAGAAGGUUUUCGGAUCGUAAAGCUCUGUUGUUGGCGAAGAAGGAUAGAGGCAGUAACUGGUCUUUAUUUGACGGUAAUCAACCAGAAAGUCACGGCUAACUACGUGCCAGCAGCCGCGGUAAUACGUAGGUGGCAAGCGUUGUCCGGAUUUAUUGGGCGUAAAGCGAGCGCAGGCGGAAUGAUAAGUCUGAUGUGAAAGCCCACGGCUCAACCGUGGAACUGCAUCGGAAACUGUCAUUCUUGAGUGCAGAAGGGGAGAGUGGAACUCCAUGUGUAGCGGUGGAAUGCGUAGAUAUAUGGAAGAACACCAGUGGCGAAGGCGGCUCUCUGGUCUGCAACUGACGCUGAGGCUCGAAAGCAUGGGUAGCGAACAGGAUUAGAUACCCUGGUAGUCCAUGCCGUAAACGAUGAGCGCUAGGUGUUGGGGACUUUCCGGUCCUCAGUGCCGCAGCAAACGCAUUAAGCGCUCCGCCUGGGGAGUACGACCGCAAGGUUGAAAUC
rnacentral:rRNA from 1 species